UACGUAGGGUGCAAGCGUUGUCCGGAAUUAUUGGGCGUAAAGAGCUCGUAGGCGGUCUGUCGCGUCUGCUGUGAAAACCCGGGGCUCAACCCCGGGCCUGCAUUCGAUACGGGCAGACUAGAGGUAGGUAGGGGAGAAUGGAAUUUCCGGUGGAGCGGUGAAAUGCGUAGAGAUCGGAAAGAACACCAACGGCGAAAGCACUCUGCUGGGCCGACACUGACACUGAGAGACGAAAGCUAGGGGAGCGAAUGGG
rnacentral:rRNA from 1 species